UCUCCUGCAAUGUUUGAGUAACUUUUGGGUUAACUCCCUCAUUUCACUACACUUGUUUGCUAUUUUUAUUUGAGCACCAGGGAGUGAUAUCUGUAUUUGAGUAACUUUUUGUUUCUAUACUGCUCACGGAGUGAUAUCUAUUUUUGUCGUGUUAGUGAAAAUGAGCAGCUCUCCAAGUACGGUGAUACAAAAUAUGCAAGAACAAUAAUGCUUGUUGAGCUGAAGAAGCUGAUUGAAGCUAACCCCUUAUUCCGUGACAAGCUUCAGUUUCUCUUCUCUGUGUUUUCGAAUUUGUUCUGUUUUUGUGAUGAUUUAGCGGGGGAUUUGUUGGUUCGCGAUGCGAUUCGAGGUCAAUAGUUGUAUCCUGCGUGUUCUGGGGUUUGGGUUUCGAUCUGAUUUGUGUAUUUCCUCCUAUCGAAUGAGCAUCCGCACUGGGUAACCUGGUGCUCAAAUGUUGAGAUUUGUAGUCAAAACAUGCUAACUUGGUGCCCUAGGACAUAGAUCUCCUGCAAUGUUUGAGUAACUUUUGGGUUAACUCCCUCAUUUCACUGCACUUGUUUGCUAUUUUUAUUUGAGCACCAGGGAGUGAUAUCUUUAUUUGAGUAACUUUUUGUUUCUGGAUUGCCCAGGGAGUGAUAUCUGUUUUUGUCUUGUUAGGGAAAAUGAGCAGCUCUCCAAGUACGGUGAUACAAAAUAUGCAAGAACAAUAAUGCUUGUUGACCUGAAGAAGCUGAUUGAAGCUAACCCCUUAUUCUGCGACAAGCUUCAGUUUCCCAACCUGAAGAAUUCCAGAUUGCGUACACUUAUCAGCCAGAGGGCGUUUUUCUGUGUUUGGAGAUGGCUAGGAAAAAGAAAUGUUCUACAGGUGACAUCCCAAUACCUGAUACUUUUGAAGGGACAGAGAGUUCUGACACUACUGGACAUAAC